GGAGAUUGGAUGUUGGUUGGUGAUGUUCCAUGGGAUAUGUUCUCUUCCUCUUGUAAGAGACUCAGGAUCAUGAAAGGAUCUGAUGCUCUUGCUUUGGACUCGGCCUUAUGAUGAUGAUGAUGAUGAUGAUGAAAGCUUUUGAUGGAUGAAACCCUUUUUGAUUUGAUUCUGAUCGGAGUUUGAGUAGUUGACCACACCAAAAACAGAACAUGUCAGGGUUUUGUUCGAUGAGAUAGAUCCAUCUUCAAGGGGUUUUCUUUUUGUUUUGUUUGAUCCUUGUUUUUAGAUUUGCAGCUUGUUGUAAAGAUAGAUGAAAUUUUUGUACAAUACGGACAUAUACACAAUAUAGAUGCGUAUGUAGCAAUGUUUUGACGAAAAGAGUCUUUAAUUUCAUAGUGAUAUCUACAAUAAUUUACAAUAAAGAACCUCAUAGUAUUCUUUAGGAGAGGGCAAAAUAAGGGUUUGGAUUCGAUCAGGAAAUUUUGGAUAUUUGUAACUCCAACAAAAAAAAAUACUUACAUUUAAUUAUAGUUAAAAACUGAAAAAAUUAUAAUUACUAAAAUUUUAGAAGAUAUAUGUGUUUAUUAUAUUUAUAUGAAAGUUUGAUAUAUUUUCGCUAAAUUAUUUAUUUAUUUAUUUAUUAAAAAGUAAAAUUAAAUUACAUUUUAUUUCGUAAUGAACAUUAUUAUAAUAUGUCAAAUUUCGAAUUUUUUAAUAAAAAAUAUUUUUACAUUUAAAAAAGAUUAAUCAAGAAACAGGCCUGAUAAGAGUUUCCAAAGCCCAAUUGACUUGAGUCCAUUGAUUUUGGUUAUGUGCUAUGACGGGGCGAAUCUAGCCCAUUUAAAUUAUGGGUGCACUAUUGAUAGAAAAACAUAAAAAUACAUUAGACAAGGAUCGAACCUAAGAAACUGAGGGUGCACAUACUUCUUUUUACCAUAUAAGCUAACCAAAUUUUGAUGUUUCUACGUGUAAAAUACUAAAUUUUAAAAUAAUUGUGGGUGCACAUGUCCCCUCAUCCUUUAACUUGGCUUCGCCAGGUGUUUCCACCUUCGAUGAUCAGAUAAGUGGAGAAGGUGAAAUCUACAUAAAGCUUGAAUGAAUUGGUACAUUUGAUAUAGCAACGAAAUUAUACAUAGUAUUAAUUUAAUUUAUUUUACUUCGUAAGUCAAGCUAGGCAAGAUUGUUUUGCGUGAAAUUUCGACAGGAAGACACUUGUUUCCAGUUAAUUGGGAAAUAAUUAAUAACUAGAAUAAGACAUGCGCUAGUGCGCAUAAUGAUUUUGUUUGUAUAUAUUAUCGAUAAUUCUUUUUAUAUAUUUGUUUAUUUUGUUAAUGCAUAUACAAUAUUUUUUGCUAAUAUUAUAUAAUUUCUUUCUGAUAGAUCGGAUUAAUUUUUAUUAAAAGUUGUGGAACUAAAUUAUAAUUAAUAUAUCAUAGGUUGAUUGGAUUUAAACAAAUUGUGACACAAAAACCUUAUUUUUUUCACCGGACACAUUAUUGAAAAAAAUGAAUAGUAAUGUUUCCACAGUUGAAUUGUUUUGACAUUGAUCUUCCAUAUGGUUUUGACAUGUUUCAGAUCAACAAUCAAAUUAAUACAUGUCAUUUUAAUGAUUUUAGUCGUAUGGUUAAGUAAAACUUACAUUUUUGUAAUUUAAAUUUGUUUUAAAAAAAUUCAGAAUAUAACAUAUAAGAAAAAAUCUAACAUAUAAGAAAAAAUCUAACAUAUAAGAAAAAUAUAACAUAUAAGAUUUCCUCAUUUUUGUAAAUUAAAGUCGUUUUAAACAAAAAUUAAAUUAUAACAUAUAAGGUUUCCUCAUUUUUGUAAUUUAAAGUCAUUUUAAAAAUUUUAAAAUAUAACAUAUAAGUAAAAAAACUAGUUUUUUAAUUAUAUGGUUAAUGUGAUUAUUUUAAUUUUUUUAAUAAUAUAAAAUUUAAAAAAAAAUGAAGAAUGAUGCAAAAAUUGUUAUAAAUUUUUUAUUAUUCAUAGUCAUUAACUGUCAUAUAUAUGUUAAUACUAUUAGGUAAUUUCGUAGUUUUUAUUUAAAGAAAUAAUACAUGUUUCUUAUAUUUUGAGUUAAUAUAAUGUUUCUUAAUAACUGGAUUUGAACCAACAUUUUUUCAAUUAAUUCUUAAGCUGUCAUGUAAACUAAAUUGUCAUCCUAAUUAAGUGAUACCUAAACAGUGUCUCUUUUUAAUUAGUACAAACUUAAUGUUAUAAUUUUUUUAAUAGUCCUCAAUUAAUAUAUAGGGAUUCAUAUAAUCAUAUUUAACAUGUUUAAUGAGGGGUCGUACAUAUUUAUAAUAUAUUUUUUUUUUUAUUGCUAUCUUAGCUUAACUGGUCAUGCAUGUUUCGUAUGUUUUUGAUACUGCUAGUACAUUCAAGUCUAGUUUUGUAUAAUCUAAGUCUGUAAUCUAAUUUUCAACAGUGGUGAUAUAUAUAUUAAUGGGAAAAUUAGGGCACGAAUAAUUAAGAAUUGCAAUUCUAUACUAAGAAAAAUGAGUUGAAAACAUGUUUUGAAAGUUUAAUCCUGCGAGUUAAAACAUUUUGAGGCACCUUUUUCUUAAUAUUUGCAAAUCUAAUGUCUUAACUUUUUAUCAUAUUCAUUACUGCAUUUUGCCGCGUGCCAAUUAACAUAAGUGCACGCUACUACAAUCGAAUGGUAUAUCGAUGCAGUAUUGUAUGAUUGAAUCCAUAAAAAACUAGUGGUAUAUAACAAUAAGAAUACACAAACUUUUCUAAUCUAAGCAAAUAAGAAGAUGGAUGAUUUGUAACAAUCUAAGUAAUGACAGUAGUGAUCAUGGGCCUUUGGAGAAAGUGAAAGAGCAGUCUCAAGCCCACACGGUCACCACCAAAGUUCAGCCUAAUCCUCCUCUGUCGUCUAGUGUCAAACAGAAAGCAUUCAAGGUUCAAUCUUCUUGCUCCAGUACGACGAGGCCAGCUAAUGGCAUAACGGUUGGAAAUAGAUUUGAGUGUCUUGGUACACAGCCUGUCAUGUGCUGAGUCAGAGUAGAGGAUAAGAUCUUAUGUCUCUAUAUAAUGUAAAACGUGAACAUGUAAUCAGCAAGCAAGAAAGUAAUAAAAGUUAAAACGUUCUUCUUCACAAAACUCUAAGUUUUUUCAUGGUAUCAGAGCCAUGGAGGACUCUGACGCUAUUUCUACGCCAUCACUGAGUAUCUCUCAGUGUGUGACGUUAAAACUCACAUCUUCCAACUACUUGCUUUGGAAGACACAGUUCGAAUCCUUUCUUUACAGUCAAUCCUUGCUCGGUUUUCUCAAUGGAGGUUCUCUUCGCCCUGCUCCAACGGUAACGGUUCAAGAAGGAGAUGGAGUCACAGAGCAGCCUAAUCCUGAGUUUCAGAAGUGGAUGCGCAAAGACCAGCUUGUCAUGGCUUGGUUGUUCGGUUCUCUGUCUGAGGAUGCUCUCAGAUCUGUCUACGGUCUCACGUCAGCUCAGGAGGUCUGGUUCUGCCUUGGAAAGAAGUACAAUCGUGUCUCAGCUACAAGAAAACUAGAUCUCCAACGUAAGCUUCAAGGUAUGACUAAAAGCCAAAGAACCAUGACAGAGUAUCUAGGAGAGAUUAAGAGUAUCUGUGACCAGUUAGACUCUAUAGGGUGUAGCAUGACUGAGCAUGAGAUGAUAUAUGGUGCGUUGAGCGGUUUAGGGAAAGAGUAUGAAUCCAUAUGUACGGUUAUUGAGCAUUCUAUGGAUUCGGUUACUGAGAUGACGUUUGAAGAUGCUGUGUUCAAGCUCACUACCUUUGAUGAUAAGCUUCAGGUCUAUAACCAAAGUGCCACAGUUAAUCCUCAUCUUGCCUUUCAUGUUGGAAGGGGUUACUCUAACAACAGAGGCAGAGGAGGUUACACUAACAGAGGGGAUUAUAGAGGUGGUCGAAGCAACAACAACUACUCCACAAGGGGACGUGGCUUUCAACAGCAGUUCUCAAGUGGUAAUGGUCGUGACAAUGUUAGCUCAGGGUCCGGUUCCAACAACAGACCUACCUGCCAAAUCUGUGGGCGGUAUGGUCAUUCAGCUGCGAGAUGCUACAAUCGCUAUGAUCAAGAGUCUCAGUCUUCAGAUAACCUACCCAAUGCGCUCACCACAAUGAGACUUUCUGAUCAAGAACACAGUACCGGUCAAGAAUGGUAUCCAGAUUCUGCUGCGUCUGCCCACAUUACAAGCAACCAGUCUCAGUUAACGUCAGCAGAACCCUAUCUUGGGAAUGAUCAAGUGAUCGUUGGGAAUGGAGAUUACCUGCCAAUCACGCAUGUUGGAUCUGUCGCCUUACACACACAACAAGGUACUCUUCCUCUUGAUGAUGUGUUAGUCUGUCCUGGAAUAACAAAGUCUUUGAUAUCGGUUUCAAAACUCACUUCAGACUAUCCAUGUGAAGUUACAUUUGAUUCUGAAACUGUUUUUGUUAAGGACAAGCAAACAAAACAGGUGAUAACUCAAGGCAGAAGGGAUAAGGAUCUGUAUAUGUUGAAGGAUGCAAGAUAUCAAGCUUUUUAUUCUACAAGACAGAGAGCUACAAGUGUGGAGAUUUGGCAUCAAAGGCUAGGCCAUCCUCACAAGGACAUCCUUCAGCAGUUAGCCAGGAGUAACGCUAUCAGUUUGAAUAAAGGGGGGACAUUGGAGCUCUGUGAAGCGUGUCAGAUUGGCAAGAGUUGCAGGCUUCCUUUUCUUCUUUCAGAAACUUUUUCUAAUAGACCUUUAGAGAAGAUACAUUGUGACUUAUGGGGACCUAGUCCAGUUGUUUCUGCUCAAGGAUUUGGAUUACCCGGAAUAGAGCAAGAUAAGGAAGAACAAGAGGUUUCUUGCGUUAGAAGCAACAAGCGUCAACUACAAAGCGAUAACGAGGAAGAAUCUACACUUCCUACGAAGUAAGUAAAGAUUUGAGUUUCAAUCUAUUGUUUCAAAUUAUCUAUGAAUUGUUGUACUAAUGAUGAUUCUUUGCUAAUUUACAGAACUCAAAUCGUUGGUUGGCCUCCGGUGAGAUCUUACCGUAAAAACAACAACAGUGUGAGCUAUGUGAAAGUGAGUAUGGAUGGAGCUCCAUACCUUAGGAAAAUAGAUCUCAAGACAUACAAAAACUAUCCAGAGCUUCUCAAGGCAUUAGAGAACCUGUUCAAGUUCACGAUCGGUGAAUACAGCGAAAGAGAAGGAUACAAAGGAUCUGGAGUUGUACCAACGUACGAGGAUAAAGAUGGAGAUUGGAUGUUGGUUGGUGAUGUUCCAUGGGAUAUGUUCUCUUCCUCUUGUAAGAGACUCAGGAUCAUGAAAGGAUCUGAUGCUCUUGCUUUGGACUCGGCCUUAUGAUGAUGAUGAUGAUGAUGAUGAAAGCUUUUGAUGGAUGAAACCCUUUUUGAUUUGAUUCUGAUCGGAGUUUGAGUAGUUGACCACACCAAAAACAGAACAUGUCAGGGUUUUGUUCGAUGAGAUAGAUCCAUCUUCAAGGGGUUUUCUUUUUGUUUUGUUUGAUCCUUGUUUUUAGAUUUGCA
rnacentral:lncRNA from 1 species